GUGAGGAAUAUUGCACAAUGGGCGAAAGCCUGAUGCAGCAACGCCGCGUGAGUGAUGAAGGCCUUUGGGUCGUAAAACUCUGUCCUUGGGGAAGAAAAAAAUGACGGUACCCUUGGAGGAAGCCCCGGCUAACUACGUGCCAGCAGCCGCGGUAAUACGUAGGGGGCAAGCGUUAUCCGGAAUUAUUGGGCGUAAAGAGUGCGUAGGUGGUUUUGUAAGCGUAGGGUGAAAGGCAGUAGCUCAACUAUUGUUAGCCCUGCGAACUGUGAGACUUGAGUGCAGGAGAGGAAAGUGGAAUUCCUAGUGUAGCGGUGAAAUGCGUAGAUAUUAGGAGGAACACCAGUGGCGAAGGCGACUUUCUGGACUGUAACUGACACUGAGGCACGAAAGCGUGGGUAGGAAACAGGAUUAGAAACCCUUGUAGUCC
rnacentral:rRNA from 1 species